CCUACGGGUGGCAGCAGUGAGGAAUAUUGGUCAAUGGACGAGAGUCUGAACCAGCCAAGUAGCGUGAAGGAUGACUGCCCUAUGGGUUGUAAACUUCUUUUAUAUGGGAAUAAAAUGUUCCCCGUGUGGGAUUUUGUAUGUACCUUAUGAAUAAGGACGGGCUAACCCCGUGCCAGCAGCCGCGGUAAUACGGAGGACCCGAGCGUUAGCCGGAUUUAUUGGGUUUAAAGGGAGCGUAGGUGGAUUGUUAAGUCAGUUGUGAAAGUUUGCGGCUCAACCGUAAAAUUGCAGUUGAAACUGGCAGUCUUGAGUACAGUAGAGGUGGGCGGAAUUCGUGGUGUAGCGGUGAAAUGCUUAGAUAUCACGAAGAACUCCGAUUGCGAAGGCAGUUCACUGGACUGCAACUGACACUGAGGCUCGAAAGUGUGGGUAUCAAACAGGAUUAGAUACCCGGGUAGUC
rnacentral:rRNA from 1 species